UAAACCUUGCGUCCUAACUUAGUUCGGAUUCGGCUAAGGACAGUAAGCUGGAACUUGGCAAUUAUUAUUGGUGAAAUGGGAAUUAAAUCGGUGUUUCUUGGGUGUUACCUAAAUUACUCAAAAUUAGGGCGUAAACAGGGAUCAGUACCCCUUUAUUCCUAAUCCUAAUUCUGGCUGGAUAAGUACCUGUAACGAGCAGGAAAGUGAAUUUCGAUGGCGGCAUCCUACCUCAAUAGUGGAGCUUGGGCUUUAAUGUGAUGAUCCGCAUGAACCCUACCUUCUUUGUUAAGUCAGUUGUUGCAUGGCCGUGGGAGUUAAAUUACUGAUAAUAGUGCACAAGCCGUAGGAGUCUAACUCUGGCCACGGGCGCCUAGUCCCCUUCAGGAUCCGAAGGGGACUAGGUCCCUAGGCGCCUAGGGGCCUGAGCAAGCGAUUAAAGGCUAGGCACGUCUUUUCCCCUGGGGCGUGUCCUGGCGGGUUAGGCGGAGUUUUGGGGAAACCCCCCUCCGAAGUCGGACGGAGGAAGUCAGGUGAUAUUUCGCUUAUAGAAAGGGGCGUCCUGAGCUACGAUUCAAGAUAAACGUUGGAUGGUGGAUGAAAUGUCAUUUGAAAGAGGAAUUAUUUGUAAGAAAAAAGUUAGCACCUUUUUCUGGAUUUGCUAGCUGGGAUGCGUACAAAUCGCCCGUCAACCGCCCAGUGAUGGGGGGUAAGUCGUAACAAGGUAAGUGUAGGGGAACCUGUACUUUAUUUGAG
rnacentral:rRNA from 1 species